rnacentral:rRNA from 1 species
AGUGAACGCUGGCGGUAGGCCUAACACAUGCAAGUCGAACGGCAGCACAGUAAGAGCUUGCUCUUACGGGUGGCGAGUGGCGGACGGGCGAGGAAUACAUCGGAAUCUACUUUUUCGUGGGGGAUAACGUAGGGAAACUUACGCUAAUACCGCAUACGACCUACGGGUGAAAGCAGGGGAUCUUCGGACCUUGCGCGAUUGAAUGAGCCGAUGUCGGAUUAGCUAGUUGGCGGGGUAAAGGCCCACCAAGGCGACGAUCCGUAGCUGGUCUGAGAGGAUGAUCAGCCACACUGGAACUGAGACACGGUCCAGACUCCUACGGGAGGCAGCAGUGGGGAAUAUUGGACAAUGGGCGCAAGCCUGAUCCAGCCAUACCGCGUGGGUGAAGAAGGCCUUCGGGUUGUAAAGCCCUUUUGUCGGGAAAGAAAAGCAGCAGGUUAAUACCCCGCUGUUCUGACGGUACCCAAAGAAUAAGCACCGGCUAACUUCGUG